UUUAUUUUAUUUUAUUUUUUUAAAGUAGGCUCUAACUAAUGUUGGAACCUUACUUGCCUGUGUACUUCUAAAUGAGUUUUGUGAGGCCAAGUGAGGUUAUGAAUUCCAGCAAUUUAUUGCCUUCUUGGAAUUUGGGUGCCAUUAGAAUGUUAUAAUCACAUAAAAUUCCAGCAAUGGAACUUCACUGCCUCUUCAAAAGGCCAGUCUGCAUAUUUAGUUAGGAAGUUUAGAUUUGUUUAAUUGUUGGCUUUUUCUGGUCUUCAUUGUAUUUUAUCUUGUUUGUAAACG
rnacentral:misc_RNA from 1 species